GGCGCGCCUAACACAUGCAAGUCGAACGAGCAAGAGAGAGCUUGCUUUCUCGAGCGAGUGGCGAACGGGUGAGUAACGCGUGAGGAACCUGCCUCAAAGAGGGGGACAACAGUUGGAAACGACUGCUAAUACCGCAUAAGCCCACGGGUCGGCAUCGACCAGAGGGAAAAGGAGCAAUCCGCUUUGAGAUGGCCUCGCGUCCGAUUAGCUAGUUGGUGAGGUAACGGCCCACCAAGGCGACGAUCGGUAGCCGGACUGAGAGGUUGAACGGCCACAUUGGGACUGAGACACGGCCCAGACUCCUACGGGAGGCAGCAGUGGGGAAUAUUGCACAAUGGGGGAAACCCUGAUGCAGCGACGCCGCGUGGAGGAAGAAGGUCUUCGGAUUGUAAACUCCUGUUGUUGGGGAAGAUAAUGACGGUACCCAACAAGGAAGUGACGGCUAACUACGUGCCAGCAGCCGCGGUAAAACGUAGGUCACAAGCGUUGUCCGGAAUUACUGGGUGUAAAGGGAGCGCAGGCGGGAAGACAAGUUGGAAGUGAAAUCUAUGGGCUCAACCCAUAAACUGCUUUCAAAACUGUUUUUCUUGAGUAGUGCAGAGGUAGGCGGAAUUCCCGGUGUAGCGGUGGAAUGCGUAGAUAUCGGGAGGAACACCAGUGGCGAAGGCGGCCUACUGGGCACCAAC
rnacentral:rRNA from 1 species